GCAGUCUGGAAGAGCAUCACCAUUAACCCCUGGAAGGGCCUUUGGAUUUACUUGUCUGUUUUCUUUUGUCUGCACUACAAAACAGCCAUUUGAAGAGAUCCUGACUAACCUCUUUUGGGACACAUGCUGUCCUUACACCUGAAGAUGUCUGUCCAGUCUGUGCAUGAGUGCAUUAAAUCCGGAGGUGGCGGUGUCAGCAGAUGGGGAAGUUAGUCUCCUGAAGAGGUUCUCCGGGAUGGACGAGGAACUGCUCAGCUUCCUGCUCCCUCGGGUCUGGUUGCCCCAGAAGGCCUGCUAUCCCCUCACCAGGACGCUCUUUCCACCUCUCUCCUUCCUGUGUGGAGUCCUGCUUUCUGGAUUCCAGAUGGGAUAUUUUCUCACAUCUCUCAGUAUAUAAAUUCAUUCCUUUGAUGCUUUCCUCCACUCCUGGCCGAUAAACAAGGGAACCAGUGACCUGCGGUUCUGCCUCUCAGGGAUGAUGACUGCCAAUCAGACUUUCUCUCUUCAAUAUAUUUAACAUAAUUGGUGCAGAGAAGGGAAGAGGAGCUGAAAGCAGAAAAGACCUACCGAGAGGGCCCUAUGGCACACGAGUGUGUUGAAAUGAUUCCUGCUGAACUAUUGUAGGGGUGGGGGUGGAAGGACACUCAGGAGCCAGUGGGCAGGAAGGCUUUGGGGAGCCCCUGGCUGGGAAGGGGUGCCUUAGGUCUGAGCCCUAAAGCUGUGUCGAUGGUGUCAAGAACCCUGACCCAAACUCCCUGGGCCUCAGGUACCUGACUACUCCGGAUCCCCAGGAAGGGUCUCCUGUUUUCUUCUUCCAUGAGCCCCCGCCUGUGAUGGAGCCUGGGAAGCCCCCCUCCUCUCACCCAGCGGCGUGUCAUCAGUGAGGCAGGCAGGUGGCUCAGGGGGGCCUCCCAGGCAGGCUCUCAGCGUGAUCGCCAAGGUAAGGCUUCAUCUUUCUGCAAUGUUUGACUUGGAUCCAGAAAGCCACAAUUUGAAAAAAAAUGAAAGUCAUUUCACGACUAUCGAUUUUCCGGUCACAGGACCACUCACACUCCCUGACCGGGGCUCCCGUUUCUGCAUCAAGACAGACUGAAGGUGGCUGGCAGCCCCAGGAGCUUUGGCCCACGCCAGGCGAGCACCUCCCAGCGCCCACCUGGCCCACGGCGGAGUCCUCUCUGGGGAUAUUUUGGUCCUGCUGAGGUGGGAAAACACAAAUAGUGACUGUAAAACGCAGUCACUGUAAAUGUUCCCAGCCAACCACCAGCAAUUCAUUAGGUCGCCAUCCUGACAGCCCUCUGUGGUCCUGAAGACCCCCAUGGUCCCAUCAUCGUGAUUAAACGAAGUCUUUCCCGAGUCCCCUUCACAACACAUGCCCCAAACCACCUCUUGCACCGGGUGCCUGUUGCAGAGGGACAUGCCCGCCCACUGCUCAGAGGACGAGCUUAUUCCCAAAUGACAGCAGCUGCCGAGGUAUCAGAAGAGCCAAAACGAAAUCCGGAGAAACGGUUCUAGCUUCUCCAGCCCCUCUCCCCCUGGCAGCUGAGGUCUGCAGGGCAGAGGAAGGUCUGCUGAAAGGGCCGGUGCUGGGGCCACAAGGGGAGCCAGGCGGCUGCUUAGCAGGGGACAGGCCUGCUAGGACACAGGGAGCAAAGGAUGAGCAGCAAGCAGCUCGAACCUGGGCCUCAGUUUUCAGAGAGGAGGCACUGUGCAAUGACCAGGGGCCCUUGGGCAGCAGCUGACCGGGAGGUCUGCUUCCAAGUGCCCCUCAUCUGGUUUUGCUUAAAGUCCAUAUAAAUGGUUCUGAACAUAUGAGUUUGCUGCUGCCAGGUAGCCUGGUCCCAAAAGCCCAGAAAGAAAACCCCACAGGCUGGAAGCCUAACAAAGCCCUCCCCAGCCGUGGGGGAGCUCUUCGUGCCAGGCUCCCCGCCCCCUUGGGGCCCCUCGUGUGGGCCCUCAGCCUACACCAUCUUUCACUUCCCAUCCCAUUGUAAGGCCCUGACCAACACAGCUUCCCACACACUCAUGGCUUACCUUGAAAAUACACCUACACGUGGGCCUCCAGAAAUGAGGGUUAGUUAAAUCAUAUCACCCUGUGAGCCUCUGGAGAAGAAAGGGCAGGUCGUCGUAGGUGUGAUGCACCAUCCCCCCACCCAGAGCAGAGUGCCCUGACCUCAGUGAGAGGGGAGAGUGGCUGCACAGGGCAAAAGGGAUAAAGAAAAGUCUGCAGGGCUGUGAAGGACGGAGGGUUUCAGUGGACUGAAACCAAUUUCUGAGAGUGAAUAUAAAACCCUUCCACUGGCCUCUUGCUGCCCUGGGAGCCCCUUCCCACUCCCUUCUCCCCUCCCUGCAUUCUUUGGGAGGGUAGGCACUUGGGAAACCUCGGGAGGCACUUUACAUCACACCUUUGCUUAUACUCUGUCUCCCAUAGCACCUGCCUGCAUUUUGACAAGAGCCGGGGGGCUUCCUGGAGGAGGCACCAACUUCCUUCCAUACUCAUCAACUUGCAGAGAAACUGUCUUGCCCCUCACAACAUAAUGUUAAUUCUCUCUUAGGUGAACGUUUUACGUGAGCAAGCAGAUUGCAGGUACAAUUAUAUUCUUACGGACUAUUAGUAUUCCCUCGUUUGGGGGAAAAAAACCUGCCAGGGAUUAGGCAAGAUUGGUUACAGAUUUUUGCUUUUAGCUGUUGCUGUUGAGUCUACAGAGAGGGCAAGUGGAGGGAGAGUUCUCUUGGUCCUGAGUAAAAAUUUCAAAUGGAAUAAAACAUGGUAGUAAAUGAACACACUGAAGCCUGACAUAGCUCACGGGAAUUAACUGGCCAGAGCCCACCCCAUGUGUUUGUGACAUGGGUUUACUGACCUGAAAUACAAACGCCCUCAAGGGACACCUGGUCCCCACCUAAGUGCUGCACAAAGAAUACCUGGGCCCCAUUACAACAGACCGGAAAACGCUGCCUCUGCCAGCCUUCCUCCAGCCUCUGCUGGAAUUUCCAGGCAGGUGCCUGGUCCUGCCCCAGGCGGCACAAGGUCUCAUGGCGGGAGGAGCCACAGCCCCUCCCUGUAUGGAGCAGCUGGUCCUGGCAGGCAGGGUGUCCUCAUCAGAUCCCCAGCCACCCUUCCUUAACCCUCGGCUCUGUGCAGACCCUGCACGAGCAGCUCAGGAUCAGCGGCCGUGGGCACAGCCUUGUGCAAGUUGGGGGUGCACACAAGAGGAGUCACAGUCCCCACUCUCCUCCCACUGAGGUGGCCUCAUGUGGUGCAGACAGGACGGACACACAGCAUCUCAGAGGGAGACAGAGUCGGCCCUGGAGAAGUUCACCCAGCACUGCAAGAAGCCAGAGAGGUUUUCCCGCUAACAUCUCAACUGUCUGUCCUCCCCUCCUUUCAGGAAGACUCAGUUGCACAGGACCCAGAGGUGCAAAGACUUUCCUUCAGUAAGUUAAAAUGAAAGGGGGUAGGAGGCUCAUGGGUGUGCACCAGAGACCCCCUGAUCUGCAGGCUGCCCCCUGCCUCCCCUGUCCCCCUCACGUGUAACUAACUAACAAGCACCCUGGGCAGCCUCAAUGCCUCUGUAUCUUUAGUCAGCCGGUGGGGACAGCUGCACUACAAACUAAACCCAGGCCUGCUCACUUGUCC